GUAAAUAUUUGUCCGUUUGUUUUUUCAUUUUUUCCCAAUAAUUUUUAAAACCUGUUGUAAAAUCAAAAAAAUGAUUUCCUUGAAGUGCCAACUAGACUAUUUUCGGGAUUUUUGGAUAAUCAGGAUUUAUAUAACAUCACUAAUAUAUAUAUAUAUACACGUUACACAUACCAGACACGGAUCCAGAGCAAAGAUUGGGGGGGG